UACGAAGGGGGGCUAGCGUUGUUCGGAAUCACUGGGCGUAAAGGGCGCGUAGGCGGCGCGACAAGUCAGGCGUGAAAGCCCCGGGCUCAACCCGGGAAUUGCGCUUGAUACUGUCGUGCUUGAGGCCGGGAGAGGAUGGCGGAAUUCCCAGUGUAGAGGUGAAAUUCGUAGAUAUUGGGAAGAACACCGGUGGCGAAGGCGGCCAUCUGGACCGGUUCUGACGCUGAGGCGCGAAAGCGUGGGGAGCAAACAGG
rnacentral:rRNA from 1 species